UGGUGGGGUGACUUGUCUGCUUAAUUGCGAUAACGAACGAGACCUUAACCUGCUAAAUAGACCGCAUUGCUCCGGCAGUGCGCUGGCUUCUUAGAGGGACUUUCGGCUCAAGCCGAAGGAAGUUUGAGGCAAUAACA
rnacentral:rRNA from 1 species